AGAGUUGAUCCUGGCUCAGAUUGAACGCUAACGGCACGCUUAACACAUGCAAGUCGAACGGCAGCGGGAGAAAGCUUGCUUUCUUGCCGGCGAGUGGCGGACGGGUGAGUAAUGCAUAGGAACUUGCCAUUCAGAGAGGGAUAACUCGGGGAAACCCGAGCUAAUACCGCAUAAACUCUACGGAGAAAAGGAGGGGAUUUUCGAAAGGAAACCUUUCACUGAAUGAGAGGCCUAUGUUGGAUUAGCUAGUUGGUAGGGUAAAGGCCUACCAAGGCGACGAUCCAUAGCUGGUCUGAGAGGACGACCAGCCACACUGGAACUGAGACACGGACCAGACUCCUACGGGAGGCAGCAGUGGGGAAUCUUGGACAAUGGGGGAAACCCUGAUCCAGCGAUGCCGUGUGUGUGAAGAAGGCCUAAGGGUUGUAAAGCACUUUAGGUAGGGAGGAGAGUUAUUGACUGAAUAAGUUGAUAAUAAGACGUUACCUACAAAAUAAGCACCGGCUAACUCUGUGCCAGCAGCCGCGGUAAUACAGAGGGUGCAAGCGUUAAUCGGAAUGAUUGGGCGUAAAGGGCGCGUAGGCGGUAAGAAAAGUUGGAUGUGAAAUCCCUGGGCUUAACCUAGGAAGAGCAUUCAAAACUGACAAACUAGAGUUCAGUAGAGGGAAGUGGAAUUUCCAGUGUAGCGGUGAAUGCGUAGAUAUUGAAGGAACAUCAGUGGCGAAGCGGCUUCCUGGACUGAACUGACGCUGAGCGCGAAAGCAUGGGGAGCAAACAGGAUUAGAUACCUGGUAGUCCAUGCUGUAAACGAUGAGAACUA
rnacentral:rRNA from 1 species